CUUAUAGACCUUCCUGGAGGAGCUUGCUAUCUAACCGAUAACCCACGUUAAACCUUACCAGCCCUUGAACACCAGCCUGUAUACCAUCGUCGUCAGCCUACCCCCCAAGGAAAGUAUACAAAAUGGGAUAAAAUUCCCACUACGCCAGAUCGAGGUGCAGCUUAUGGGCUGGGGAUCAGUGAGCUACAAUGAUAAAACAGUAACACUUUAAAUAAAAUUUUGAAUAGGCCAAAGAAUCUUUGCUUUGAAACCGGAUUCAGCAGUAAUAACUAACAGAAAAUAGUUAUGAACCUUUAGCUCUAUAAUGCGC
rnacentral:rRNA from 1 species